GAGAAACUCAGACUUUCAGACUGCAGUAUCACUGAAGAAGGUUAUAAAGCUCUGUCUUCAGCUCUGAGAUCAAACCCUUCACACCUGAUAGAGCUGGAUCUCACAGGAAAUGAUCCUGGACCAUCAGGAGUGAAGCAGCUCAGUGAUUUACUACAGGAUCCAAACUCUCAACUCAAGACACUGAGGUUUGUGGGUCCUGCUGCAGAUGAAGGCUGUCAGUAUGUGACUGGAAUUGUGGGUAAAAACCCGUUACUCCUGAGAGAGCUGAAUCUGAGUGAACAUGAACUAGGAGACACACGAGUGAAUCAGAUCGCUGCUCUACUGCAGGAUAAACACUGUACACUCAACACACUGAUUCUGAAGAACAACUGUAUCACAGAAGGAGCUUGUCAUGUUCUGGCUGCAGCUCUAAAUUCAAACCCUUCAAACCUCAGAGAGCUGGAUCUGAGCAGGAAUCAAAUAGCAGACUCUGGAGUGACAGAAAUCUCCAGUCUGCUGAGAAAUUCACAGACACUGCAGAU